GAUGAAGAACGCAGCGAAACGCGAUAAGUAAUGUGAAUUGCAGAAUUCAGUGAAUCAUCGAAUCUUUGAACGCACCUUGCGCUCCUUGGUAUUCCGAGGAGCAUGCCUGUUUGAGUGUCAUUAAUAUAUCAACCUCUUCAGCUUAUGCUUGUUGAGUGUUGGAUGGUGGGGGUUUGCUGGUGUCUUAUGAAGUCAGCUCCUCUGAAAUGCAUUAGCGGAACAAUUUGUUGACCGUUCAUUGGUGUGAUAAAAAUAUCUACGCUAUUGACGUCAGUCAGUUCAGCUUCUAACAGUCCAUUGACUUGGACAAAUUUUUCAUUAAUGUGACCUCAAAUCAGGUAGGACUACCCGCUGAACUUAAGCAUAUCAAUAAGCGGAGGA
rnacentral:misc_RNA from 1 species